UUUUAUCUUAUUUCUUCUUUUUUUAAAAAAUCCUUUUCUUCAAACUCUCACCCCUCCCUUCAUCACGAACGCCCCCCUUUGCUCGCAUCUCCCUCGCCGCCACAGAUCCCAACCGUGCCAUCUUUCGUCCACCAGUCGUUGUGCCCUAGCCCGCACCUCACGCCGCGCCAGAUCGAGAGUUUUUCAGCCCCGACUUUAGCUCCAGCCACCCCCUCACCCAGCCUCAGUCGUCGCUUGCUGUCCAGCCUCGAUCGUCGCUCGCCGCCGAUCGAAGCUCGCCAAGCCAGCCUUCCUUCCUAGUUGCACCGCGCGAGAUUUUCCCUUCACGGCUCGUUUCGCCUGCCGUCGCUGGUUCGCUCCUCUAGCUGUCGGUCCGUGCCGGUCGUCGGCUGAGCUAGUCGGCCUUCUUCAUCUGAAACACUACCCAACCCCCGUUAGUGGCUUUACUACCGGAUCUGUUGUUGGAUUAUUUGACUACAUGAAAGUGAUGCAUGUUCGAGGGCGCUAGUACAUGAAAGAGAUGUACUAAGGAUGGUGUGUAUGAAAGUGAUACAUACCUAGAGGGUAUUUAAAUCUAUAAUUACUAUUAGAAAAUAACAAUCACAUUAUGACAGACACGUAAGAGGUGCACACUCAGUGGGUCAUGUGUAUACGAAAGAGGUGUAUACAUAACCAUGUGUACAAAAAAGCAGCCACCGAGACCCCCUCCCCCGACCUCCAUUGCUCCGUCGCCGCCUCAGUCACCCAGCCUCAUCAGUCGCCAGAUCUGAGUCGAAACUCUCUCAGCCACACCGCCCAGCCUUCAGUCGUCGCCCAAAUCGGAAAUCGGAUGUCUACCGUGCGCUGCGCUUCUGCAUAAACCCAGUCACUCACAUCUGUGCCAUCUUCGUAUGAUUCUCCUCAGUCGCGUCUCCGACCGUCGAACCUCGAUGGUACCACUCGCCAGCCUACACUGGUCUCCAUGGGUUGUAGGUCAUCGCCCAAAGUCUUGAGUUUCGCUGUCAUUCACGCCCAGAUCCGAAGACCCACACCCAGGCGGCCACCACUAUGCCUCACUUUUGGGUCGCUUGCCGUCAGUCACGCAAAGGUGCUUCAGAUCCAUCGUUUCUCGUCGUUUGUGCUGCCAACAAUAAGGGUCGUCGGAACUUGUGGAUUUGGGUUUUGGAGAAACUUUAAAGUCAAAAGUGUGGUGUCAAGAGGAUUUGGACGUAGUUUCGACAAGCUUUUGGGAUCUCAUUCAAAAGUUGUGGAAAGCUAGAAAGGAGUUUGUUCACUUGACUUAACUUUUGGACUUUAUUUAAGGAAAAGGUAAAGAUGUAUCAGCGAUGGCGUAGCGGAAUUCGUGAUCGUGUCACUGGGACUAGACCUUUUCGCUUCCGCAUUUUGAAAUAUGUUAUUUGGUUUUACUGUUUACAAUUUAUUACUAAGGAUUAUUUCUAUUAUAUGCCUUUGAUUAGCCUUUAAGAAUUUUAGGUACCCUAUUAACUGUUUAAACAAUUGCAUUUAAUAAACAUCUUUUGAACUUCUCUUA